AAACCGGCAGAAAAAUAGAGAAUCAAACGAGCGCGAGACUGAGAGCACAGCUCCAUUCAAUUUUGGGCUGAUGUCAGAAAUGUUUGCCCGUUGUUGGGCUUUCAACGCCUGCGCAAAAGUCAAGCAGGACAAGCGGUACAAGCGUCAUAAAUUGAACUAUAACAUGCCAAACAAUACCGGCACCAACGAGAACAACAUUGGGAACAACACGAACACUUUUGUCAUGCAUUUGCGGCACACCCAACAAACAAUUUAGUAAACACACAUAGAUACAUACAUGCGAGUAGAGAUAUGCAUCAGCGAGGGGUUCAUGGAGCGUGGACCGUGCUCUGUCUGGCUCUGCGACUGGGGCCUAUCUAUGCUAAACAGCUUGCAGUCGCCUCUAACUUAUUCGAUUUCACACGCAAAGUGGAGUAUGUAAGCGGAGCAACAGCAAGGUGAUCUGGAAUGAAACCCCACCUCGAUAGGCAAGUCUCUCUCCCUCUCCUCCUCUGGCCAAUAUCGCGAUCGCUUAGUCAUCACCAGGUCCAGCUCCAGCCCCAGCUGAGUUUAAUGGAUCCGCUCCCAUAUGCUGAAAGCACAAGUUAAGAGAUACUCGUAUAAAGAACAAAUUGGAAACACACACACCUUGGAAUCUGGCCAAUUCUGAAGCAGCCAUAAAUGAUUCAAUCAUCAAUUGGUGAGUGGGGAUACGACCAGUACGAGUAAGAGUACGAGUAUUCAUGCAAACGCAUUCACCAUUAUAAUGAAAUGCAAAUGUAUCAAUUAAAUUGUGCUCUAUUUU